rnacentral:tRNA from 1 species
AUUAAGCUAUCGGGCCCAUACCCCGAAAA